rnacentral:rRNA from 1 species
ACUCAAUAGAUACCCUGGUAGUCCUGGCCCUAAACGUUGGGUACUAGGUUGUGGGCCGGACAUGGGCUCACAGCCGAAAGCAAAAAAAGUGCUAAGUACCCCGCCUGGGGAGUAUGGUCGCAAGGCUGAAACUCAAAGAAAUUGACGGGGGCUCACACAAGCGGUGGAGCAUGUGGCUUAAUUCGAGGCUACGCGAAGAACCUUAUCCUGGACUUGACAUGUGCGAAAGCGUUGGCAGGUAGGACCCGGAAACGGGAACGAACGGUAUCCAACCCGGAAGCCAACACAGGUGCUGCAUGGCUGUCGUCAGCUCGUGUCGUGAGAUGUC